rnacentral:rRNA from 1 species
CAGCAUCAGCCGCGGGAAUACGUAGGGUGCAAGCGUUAAUCGGAAUUACUGGGCGUAAAGCGUACGCAGGCGGUUAUAUAAGUCAGAUGUGAAAUCCCCGGGCUCAACCUGGGAACUGCAUUUGAGACUGUAUGGCUAGAGUGAGUCAGAGGGGGGUAGAAUUCCACGUGUAGCAGUGAAAUGCGUAGAUAUGUGGAGGAAUACCGAUGGCGAAGGCAGCCCCCUGGGCCAAUACUGACGCUCAUGCACGAAAGCGUGGGGAGCAAACAGGAUUAGAUACCCGGGUAGUCCCUGUCUCUUAUAC